rnacentral:rRNA from 1 species
UACGGAGGGAGCUAGCGUUGUUCGGAAUUACUGGGCGUAAAGCGCACGUAGGCGGCUUUGUAAGUUAGAGGUGAAAGCCCGGGGCUCAACUCCGGAACUGCCUUUAAGACUGCAUCGCUUGAAUCCGGGAGAGGUGAGUGGAAUUCCGAGUGUAGAGGUGAAAUUCGUAGAUAUUCGGAAGAACACCAGUGGCGAAGGCGGCUCACUGGACCGGUAUUGACGCUGAGGUGCGAAAGCUAGGGGAGCGAAUGGG